rnacentral:ncRNA from 2 species
GAGAAUAUUGUCGAUUUUACUCGUAUAAUCUUGGGAAUAUGGCCCAGAAGUUUCUACCGAGCUACCGUAAAUGGCUUGACUACGAGGCAGUGUAUAUUAAAU